rnacentral:rRNA from 1 species
GACGAACGCUGGCGGCGUGCCUAAUACAUGCAAGUCGAACGAAGCGGCGGAUGGGUGAGUAACGCGUGGGUAACCUGCCCUUAAGUCUGGGAUACCAGUUGGAAACAGAUGCAACUACCGGAUACUAAAGGAUGGACUGGGGAUGCAUUAGCUAGUUGGGAAGGUAACGGCUUACCAAGGCGAUGAUGCCUAGCCGGGUUGAGAGGCUGAUCGGCCACAUGGGGACUGAGACACGGCCCAGACUCCUACGGGAGGCAGCAGUAGGGAAUCUUCCACAAUGGACGAAAGUCUGAUGGAGCAACGCCGCGUGAUUGAAGAAGGUUUUCGGAUCGUAAAGCUCUGUUGUUGGUGAAGCGGUAAUCAACCAGAAAGUCACGGCUAACUACGUGCCAGCAGCCGCGGUAAUAC